rnacentral:sRNA from 1 species
AUAUAGGGAUAAGUGGCGCAGUAUUCUAGUCAGAAUUUGUCUGUCCUGAAGACGGGGCUAAAAAUCCGUCAAAGGGCACAUCGAUGAAGCUCCUUGUCUUUGCCGCUGACGCCCAGUUGGGGGCAUUUUCAGGGAGAAAGGCAGUAAGGGCGAUCCGUAAUGGCAUAUGGGCGUGAACCCUUUCCGCUGUGGAGGCUUGCAUACGGUUUUACCGUCUGUAAGAAAUUAAACCUGAAACCCGGCGUGAGUUCGAGCCGAUGAGGCUGGAUGAUCAGAUCGGAUGUAAGUGUAGCCUGCCUUGAGUGAUGCGGGGGAAUUACAGAGCAAUAGCGUGUCGUACCACGGCCGGGUAUGAUGCGUUGAUAGCUGUAUGAAACCUGCAAUGCAAAAGAGGAUAAGGACAGACAAUACUGUUGAGGAAAUCUCCUAGACUGUAUGAUACCCGUGGAUUGCAGUACGGACUAAGUGGCAAUCCGGUUCCGCAAACGGCAACGCUGCGGGCAGCGCUUUGAUGGGAAACCGCUGAUCUGGCGACGGAUCAGUAGCGCUGUAGGAAAACUUACCGGACCUAUGCCGUAAAGUUUACACGAGUAUCGUCCACUUUUUUUUAAUG